rnacentral:rRNA from 1 species
AGGUGCAAUUAUACCACCGUUAAUGCAUCGAAUCCCAUCAAAAAUCUGUAGUUAAGCACACUUGGGAUUGAGUAGUACUGGGAUGGGUGACCUCCUGUGAAGUCCUAGUGUUGCACCCU